CUAGAUUAUUUUCUAUAAGAAAAUAUGGAAAGUGAAAAUUCAGGUGAAGUCAACUUUACCUAAAGUUGAUAUAUGAGAGUUAUUAGAUAAAAAUUUAGUCAAAUCAAUCAAAUCAUCUAACAGCUCUCAGAUAU